GUCUUGAUAGCUCAGUUGGUAGAGCACUGCACCGGCAUCGCAGAGGUCGUGGGUUCGAUUCCCGUUCAGGCCU